GCUCCCAUGGCGUAGUGGUCACUGCGCUCGCCUUGCACGCGGGAGACCCGGGUUCGAUUCCCGUCGGGGUCG
rnacentral:tRNA from 1 species